rnacentral:rRNA from 1 species
GCUAAGUAAGGGCGUAUGGGGAAUGCCUAGGCUCUCAGAGGCGAUGAAGGACGUGAUAAGCUGCGAAAAGCUGCGGGGAUCGGCACACACGAUAUGAUCCGCAGGUAUCCGAAUGGGGCAACCCGUUAUAUUGAAGGUAUAACAUCCGCAAGGAGGCAAACCCGGGGAACUGAAACAUCUAAGUACCCGGAGGAAAGGACAUCAAUUGAUACUCCCCUAGUAGCGGCGAGCGAACGGGGACCAGCCAAGCCUUGAGAGUGACUAGAACAUGUUGGGAAGCAUGGCCAUAGCGGGUGACAGCCCCGUAUAGGAAGCUCGAUAGGAUGUAUUAAGUAGGGCGGGACACGUGAAAUCCUGUCUGAAGAUCGGAGGACCACCUUCGAAGGCUAAGUACUCCUUACUGACCGAUAGCGAACCAGUACCGUGAGGGAAAGGUGAAAAGCACCCCGACGAGGGGAGUGAAACAGUACCUGAAACCGAACGCCUACAAUCAGUCGGAGCUUG